UACGUAGGCAGCAAGCGUUGUUCGGAGUUACUGGGCGUAAAGGGUGCGUAGGCGGCUUUUUAAGUCUGGUGUGAAAUCUCCCGGCUCAACUGGGAGGGUGCGCCGGAUACUGAGGGGCUAGAGUGUGGGAGAGGAAAGUGGAAUUCCUGGUGUAGCGGUGAAAUGCGUAGAUAUCAGGAGGAACACCGGUGGUGUAAACGGCUUUCUGGACCAUUGUUGACGCUGAGACACGAAAGCGUGGGUAGCAAACAGG
rnacentral:rRNA from 1 species